rnacentral:tRNA from 1 species
GGAGCCGUAGCUCAGUGGAUAGAGCGGUGUAAAGGAGCUUUGACAAAAGCUCGUACAGCAAUUUUACAUAUGGAGGACACCCCACAGGUCGCAGGUUCGAAUCCUGCCGGCUCCA